rnacentral:rRNA from 1 species
GAUGAACGCUGGCGGCGUGCCUAACACAUGCAAGUCGAACGGAGUUUAGCGCUGAUGAAGCUUCGGCAGAUUCUUGUUAAACUUAGUGGCGGACGGGUGAGUAACGCGUGGGUAACCUGCCUCAUACAGGGGGAUAGCAGUUGGAAACGACUGAUAACACCGCAUAAGCGCACAGGAUCGCAUGAUCUAGUGUGAAAAUAUUUAUAGGUAUGAGAUGGACCCGCGUCUGAUUAGCUAGUUGGUGAGGUAACGGCCCACCAAGGCGACGAUCAGUAGCCGGCCUGAGAGGGCGGACGGCCACAUUGGGACUGAGACACGGCCCAAACUCCUACGGGAGGCAGCAGUGGGGGAUAUUGCACAAUGGGCGAAAGCCUGAUGCAGCGACGCCGCGUGAGUGAAGAAGUAUUUCGGUAUGUAAAGCUCUAUCAGCAGGGAAGAAAGACCUCGUAAGAG